AUUGAACGCUGGCGGCAUGCUUUACACAUGCAAGUCGAACGGUAACAGGCCGCAAGGUGCUGACGAGUGGCGAACGGGUGAGUAAUGCAUCGGAACGUGCCCAGUCGUGGGGGAUAACGCAGCGAAAGCUGUGCUAAUACCGCAUACGACCUGUGGAUGAAAGCGGGGGACCGAAAGGCCUCGCGCGAUUGGAGCGGCCGAUGUCAGAUUAGGUAGUUGGUGGGGUAAAGGCUCACCAAGCCAACGAUCUGUAGCUGGUCUGAGAGGACGACCAGCCACACUGGGACUGAGACACGGCCCAGACUCCUACGGGAGGCAGCAGUGGGGAAUUUUGGACAAUGGGCGCAAGCCUGAUCCAGCCAUGCCGCGUGCGGGAAGAAGGCCUUCGGGUUGUAAACCGCUUUUGGCAGGAACGAAACGGCGCAAGCCAAUACCUUGCGCUAAUGACGGUACCUGCAGAAUAAGCACCGGCUAACUACGUGCCAGCAGCCGCGGUAACAC
rnacentral:rRNA from 1 species